rnacentral:piRNA from 1 species
AAGACUCGGAUCUAGAAUCACAACAGCUGC